GAUGAACGCUAGCGACAGGCCUAACACAUGCAAGUCGAGGGGUAGGGUAGCAAUACCCGAGACCGGCGCACGGGUGCGUAACGCGUAUGUAACCUGCCCGAUACCGUGGAAUAGCCUUCCGAAAGGGAGAUUAAUGCCGCAUAACAUCAUCAUUCUGCAUGGUUUGAUGAUUAAAGCUCCGGUGGUAUCGGAUGGGCAUGCGUAUGAUUAGCUAGUUGGCGGGGUAACGGCCCACCAAGGCGACGAUCAUUAGGGGUUCUGAGAGGAAGGUCCCCCACACUGGUACUGAGACACGGACCAGACUCCUACGGGAGGCAGCAGUGAGGAAUAUUGGGCAAUGGGCGAAAGCCUGACCCAGCGACGCCGCGUGGGUGAUGAAGGCCUUCGGGUUGUAAAACCCUUUCGUGCGGAAAGAAUAGUCCUGUAGCGAAUAACUACGGGAUUUGACGGUACCCAGGAAGAAGCACCGGCUAACUCCGUGCCAGCAGCCGCGGUAAUAGUC
rnacentral:rRNA from 1 species